rnacentral:misc_RNA from 1 species
AAGCAUCGUUCUUGAGGUUCGCAUAAGAAGGUAAGGAAGAUGGUCAAGUCAACUGAUGAAAGAGAGAAGAUGAGUAAGUCAAAAAGGAAAGAGAAGGAAAAAGAUUAGAAUGAAGGUGAGAGGUGGAGGAGAGAUACAAUUUUUUUUAUUACGAAUGUCCCAAUUGGACAUGUUAAGUCAGCAUUUAGUCGAAACCCUAACAUAAUCGAGGUAAAAUGACUUUGUAGCAUAUCAAAUUGAAAUUAAAGGAUAUUU